UACGUAGGGUGCAAGCGUUGUCCGGAAUUAUUGGGCGUAAAGCGCUCGUAGGCGGUUUGUUGCGUCGGCUGUGAAAACCUGAGGCUCAACCUCAGGCCUGCAGUCGAUACGAGCAGACUAGAGUGUUGCAGGGGAGACUGGAAUUCCUGGUGUAGCGGUGAAAUGCGCAGAUAUCAGGAGGAACACCGGUGGCGAAGGCGGGUCUCUGGGCAACAACUGACGCUGAGAAGCGAAAGCAUGGGGAGCGAACAGG
rnacentral:rRNA from 1 species